GUGCUCGCUUUGGCAGUACAUAUACUCAAGUUGGAAUGAUACAGAGAUUAGCAUGGCCCUGGUGCAAAGAUGACAGGCAAAUUCAUGAAGCAUUCCGUAUUUUU